rnacentral:rRNA from 1 species
GACGAACGCUGGCGGCGUGCUUAACACAUGCAAGUCGAACGGUAAGGCCCUUCGGGGUACACGAGUGGCGAACGGGUGAGUAACACGUGGGUGAUCUGCCCUGCACUUCGGGAUAAGCCUGGGAAACUGGGGCUAAUACCGGAUAGGACUCCGGACUGCAUGGUCUGGGGUGGAAAGCUGUUGCGGUGUGGGAUGGGCCCGCGGCCUAUCAGCUUGUUGGUGGGGUGAUGGCCUACCAAGGCGACGACGGGUAGCCGGCCUGAGAGGGUGACCGGCCACACUGGGACUGAGAUACGGCCCAGACUCCUACGGGAGGCAGCAGUGGGGAAUAUUGCACAAUGGGCGCAAGCCUGAUGCAGCGACGCCGCGUGAGGGAUGACGGCCUUCGGGUUGUAAACCUCUUUCAGCAUCGACGAAGCGAAAGUGACGGUAGGUGCAGAAGAAGGACCGGCCAACUACGUGCCAGCAGCCGCCGUAA